GUCUGACCUUGAGGGUGGGUGGGACAGAUGUCACUGAUGGUUGAUGCCUUAGUUUGGGUUGUCCCAGGUGCAGAUUCCGAGACAAGAAUUUGAGAGCAAGUAGUUUAUUUGAGAGGUGACCUCAGGAAGCUCUGGCAGGGCUUUAGGAAGCGCAACAGGAAAGGGAGGAGGCCAAUUCAGGGCGUAGUAUUCAGCCAGCUGGUGCAGAGGACAGCUGGAGUUCAGUCCCAUGGAGAAAUCACACACAAUAGAGGAAUCCCAGGAGCGAGGGACAGGCGGUAUUUAUACACCAACUCCUAUGAGUUAUUACUUGGGGGUUGUUGGAGGUGAGUGUUAAUCCCCUGGCACCUCCCACCUGCCAUAAAGUGUUCAAUGCCAUCCCAGGCUGCCCUCCAUGAGACAGGUGGCAGGCAAUGCCUAAAUCAAGGGGACAUAGUGCACGCUCUGCCAUGGGCAUCUCAGGCCUCUGCCCUCUGGGUUCCAGCCCCUCUCUAACCUGGUUCUCACUUCUCCCUGUCCACGAGCAAGGCGACCUCCAAGGAGAAACGGUGUCUGGGCGACCCUGAGAGCCUGAGAUGUGGCCUGGGGGUUACCAUGGACGGAAGGGAAGUAGGGGGGUCAGGACGACUCACGCUCUGGUCCUUGUCACUAAAAGUCAGAGCAGCUGAAACUCACCAAGCAUCACUCACAUCAGACACUGGUCUAAGCACCUUACAUGCAUUCUCUAUAUUUUUAUUUAACAAAUACUUACAUCGAGCUUGCCGUGUGGAGGCACUGCUCUAGUUGAUUUACAAAACGAAACAAGAAGCGUCGAAAACACAUCGAAUCAACAAAACACCAUCGUGAAUUCUCGCAACUGCCCUGUGUGGGAGGCACUGCCGCUACCUCCAUCUGCAGAGGGGUAGGGGAGCCUGGGAGCUGGUGGGCGGAGGGCCGGGUGGGGUGGAACUGGCAUCUGCCUCCAGGGCUGGGCUCCUCCCAUUGCUGAUGCCUGGGUUUCACUGUGCUCGUAAAAGCCACGGGUCAAUUAUGCUUAUUACCUGUUCUGCAGGUGAGAAAACGAGGCACACAGGGGUGAGCAAUUCGCUCAGCUUGAAAGUGGUAGAACCAGGACCCAGCCCAGGCCAUGGCUCGGGACCCACUCUGUAAUCACUCACUGGGGGCCCCGCAGUAAUGAGCUCUUUGAAGAAAGGUGAGUCACUGACCUUGGCUGUGCCUCAGUUUCUUCAUUUGCCAAGUGGGGCUCUGCUGCCCCUGCCUCUGCCCUGCUGACUUGCAAGAAGAGUGAACGAAUGGAAUUGGAUGAAGGCUUCCGGAAACUUCCAUCAGGAAAGCGCCCUGGCCUGGGAGAAAGCCGGUCCUGGCCGGCUUUGCCUGCAAUGCCCUCAGUGGCCAGUCACGUCCCCUCCUUGGCCUGCAGGUUCCUCACUGGAGCGGGGGUGGCCCGAGAUGAACCCUCAGAUGCACCAAGCCCCACACCUUGAUUGUCCAGCUCUGUCCUGAUGGACAGGGGAGCUGCCUGCGGUGACUGUCCAGGAACUGGGUGUCUGGAGACGGGCAGACCCAACCAUUUGAGGCUCGUUCUAGGAAGUGUGUUCAGUGUGGCCAAGCUUGGUGACUCUGGGGCUUCUGGAAUGGUUCCCAUGCCAGAGAAUUACAAAAAGAUCCUUUGUACUGAGAAGAGAAAGUACAACUUAUUCUCUUAGGGACACCUUCCUGGAGGGACACCAGACAAGAAGUCCAGGCCCUGGAAUCAGAUGCCCUGGGCCAGGCAGCUUCUGUCUCCCCGAGUUCUCUGCGGAGGCAGCACUCUCAGAAGAUUCCACGGUUUAAUCACACUCCAGCUCUUUUCAGAGCACCUUCUACGUGCCAGGCAUGCUCUAGGCACCAGCGAUGCAACUGUGGAUGAAAAAGACCAAGGCCCUGUUCUCGGGGAGCUGGCGGGGUGGGAGGGGCAGUGAAAAACAAGUACAGCCUGCCCCCGCAAGUACAGUCACAUAGACAUAUGUGUGUAUGUGUGCACAUAUACUUGAAAUAUCAAGUGGCUGGAGGGUUUACUUUAGACUGGGGGAUGUGGAAGUCCUCUCUGAGAUGCGCCCCCUUUGAUCAGAGGCCUGAAGGAAUUAAAUGAGUCUUCCAUGUGCACAUCCAGGGGAGGAAGUUUCCAGGCAGAUGGACCCGCAUGUGCAAAGGCCCUGUGGUGGAGUGUGCUGGGGGUGUUCUAGGAGGGUCAGCAUGGAGGGAACAAGGAGAAGAGCUCGAGCUGAGGUUAUGGAGGGCCUCAUGGGUCAUGGCAAAGACAUCUGGGUCAUAUUCUGAGAUAGAUGGGGUGGGGUUUGGCACAGAGGACUUUAUGUAUUUUGCCUUAAUAUUUUAAAAGGAUCCCUCUGGCUGCCUGUGAGCAUGGAUUGUGCAGGAUCAAUGCAGGGAGUCGAUGUAGGGAGACCAGCAAGGAGGUGAUUGCCACAGUCAAGAAGGGAUGAUGGACGCCCAGGCCUCCGUAUUCGGAGCGGUGUGGCCAGGCGAUAGCAUGGUAGCCAUCAUCACAAGCUAAAGCCAGCAGGUUUGGUAGAUGGUUGGGAUAUGGAGGAAUAAGAGAAAGAGAAGGGUUAUGCUGACUCUAAGAUUUGGCCUAAUCGCCAGAAGGUUGUAGGUGCCUUUUUUUUUUUUUUUUUAAAUGGGAGUGACCGGCUUGGAGGGAAGAUAAGGGGCAUCAGAAACCUGCACAAACCUGCAGGAGUGUGCACUGUGUGACCCUGAUGCCCAAAGGUGACCCUGGGGCCAAGCAGUGUCUCCACCCUUAGUCUCUGGGGCCCCUGCCCACCUGCAGAAGGGACCCUAAACACUAACCUUUGAUUUAAAUCCAAAACAUUCUUCCCUAACGUAAAGUUGCCCAGGGCAGUAUUGGUUUCUCUUUUAAAGACGCCACCUGGAUUCUAUUCUAAUGGUGGGGGUGCAUAUCUAGAAAGGAUGGGCAGCCCCUGCGGGGAAAGAAUGAAUGGGGCCAGGUGCAGUGGCUCACACCUGUAAUCCCAGCACUUUGGGAGGCCGAGGUGGGUGGAUCACUUGAG
rnacentral:lncRNA from 10 species